CGUCAACAACUCUUGGUAAAAUGUGACGCGAACAAACUCGUGUCUUAUCAACUUAGCUAUCAAACUUAUUCAAACGGAUAGAUUGGUAGAUAUAUGAAAUGUUUAGGUUGAACGCAGUCCGCCACAAGGCUGGUCGUCAGGGCAGCGGUUCAGAGUUCAAUUCAAGAGGCGAGCACAUGAAAAAGUUGAUCUGGCCCCUGCUGCCCUGGGUGGGGAACCUGCUGCUAUCUGGGCCCCUAGGGGUCCUGCAGACCAGACUAAACGAUAGCCGUCUCCUGGAUGCUCUGUGUGCGUUUGCUCAGGUCUUCCUCCAGACCCACCCAGACCUGGGUCCUCAACACACACAGGCUAAUUGUGCAUAGCCAGGAAGUGUCCGGUGAACAAGAAAAUCUACGAGGCCAGCCCUUGACCAUCCCAGUGGUCAGAUAGCCAGAGAGGCUGGCUGGUACAAUGUGUGCGUGGAGUAGUGAGACCGACUGUCGGACUGUUAAAACGUGCUCCAUACCUGUCCUAUACCUGCAUGGCACCUGAUAAGGUAUGGGAACGUCCCUUAGUCGACACUCACCUG